CAGUAGCCACGGUAAAACAGAGGGUGCAAGCGUUAAUCGGAAUUACUGGGCGUAAAGCGCGCGUAGGUGGUUUGUUAAGUUGGAUGUGAAAUCCCCGGGCUCAACCUGGGAACUGCAUCCAAAACUGGCAAGCUAGAGUAUGGUAGAGGGUGGUGGAAUUUCCUGUGUAGCGGUGAAAUGCGUAGAUAUAGGAAGGAACACCAGUGGCGAAGGCGACCACCUGGACUGAUACUGACACUGAGGUGCGAAAGCGUGGGGAGCAAACAGGAUUAGAUACCCCAGUAGUCCCUGUCUCUUAUAC
rnacentral:rRNA from 1 species